rnacentral:rRNA from 1 species
UAGGGAAUAUUGGGCAAUGGAGGGAACUCUGACCCAGCCAUGCCGCGUGCAGGAUGAAGGCGUUAUGCGUUGUAAACUGCUUUUUAUAUAGGAAGAAAUAGUCCUUGCGAGGAAAGUUGACGGUACUAUAUGAAUAAGCACCGGCUAACUCCGUGCCAGCAGCCGCGGUAAUACGGAGGGUGCAAGCGUUGUCCGGAUUUAUUGGGUUUAAAGGGUGCGUAGGCGGUUUAUUAAGUCAGUGGUGAAAGACGGUCGCUCAACGAUUGCAGUGCCAUUGAUACUGGUAGACUUGAGUAUGAUUGAGGUAGCUGGAAUGGAUAGUGUAGCGGUGAAAUGCAUAGAUAUUAUCCAGAACACCGAUAGCGAAGGCAGCUUACCAAGC